rnacentral:rRNA from 1 species
AGGGUGAUCGGCCACACUGGGAACUGAGACACGGCCCAGACUCCUACGGGAGGCACNAUAGGGAAUCUUCGGCAAUGGACGAAAGUCUGACCGAGCAACGCCGCGUGAUGAAGAAGGUUUUCGGAUCGUAAAACUCUGUUGUUAGAGAAGAGCAAGGACGUUAGUAACUGAACGUCCCCUGACGGUAUCUAACCAGAAAGCCACGGCUAACUACGUGCCAGCAGCCGCGGUAAUACGUAGGUGGCAAGCGUUGUCCGGAUUUAUUGGGCGUAAAGCGAGCGCAGGCGGUUUCUUAAGUCUGAUGUGAAAGCCCCCGGCUCAACCGGGGAGGGUCAUUGGAAACUGGGAGACUUGAGUGCAGAAGAGGAGAGUGGAAUUCCAUGUGUAGCGGUGAAAUGCGUAGAUAUAUGGAGGAACACCAGUGGCGAAGGCGGCUCUCUGGUCUGUAACUGACACUGAGGCUCGAAAGCGUGGGGAGCAAACAGGAUUAGAUACCCUGGUAGUCCACGCCGUAAACGAUGGGUGCUAAGUGUUGGAGGGUUUCCGCCCUUCAGUGCUGCAGCAAACGCAUUAAGCACUCCGCCUGGGGAGUACGACCG